UGUCUUGCAGAGAUGACCUUAGUGGAUAAAUGCAGCAGUGGAAAGGAAUAGAAUAGAGGCAAAAGGCUUCUGACAAUAUCACAGAAAACAUCAUGCUAAAAAGCAUAGGAGCAAGAAUGCAGUCCUGCUUUACUCCACUGGUGACUGGGAAAGCACAGGAGCAUUGUUCACUGUCCAGAACCCAUAGUCAUUAGAGCGGCAAGACAGAAGUCAAGAUGACUGGCAAUGGCUCAGGAUGCUGUGGAUGAUCUGGGCAAUGUCUAACCAAGCUCUUAGCACUCCACAGAAUGGAUUUGUGGCCAUUGGAACAAAUUGUUCUCAUCUGCCCAUUCUGCCAGGGGAAGUCUUCACAUUCUUGGGGUAGACACCUCCCUAAUUCACUAAUGGAUUUCAGAACCCUUGGUUAACUUCAACCUGCUUUUAGCUUGUGUCCUGAAAUGGCUUACCAGGGUGUGAUUCUUGUGUAUGCUAUAGCUUCUUGGAGCCACAGGUGAGAGGUAGGUGGAACAGAUGGACAGCAACAGUGGAAAGCAACCCUGAAAAGGGCUUGGCAGCACUCACACCAGGGUUUCUAGUCUUCCCUACACAUCCUACAUCUCAGGAUAAUAUUAAUUCAAAUAGAAAACACUUUUCACACAAAUAAAGGUAGAUCUAAACAAUUAAUUGCCCAUGAGUAGACCUAGCCAUUAGUUUUUUAGAUGACAAUUCUACCUGUUAAUUUUUUUAUUCUUUGCCAAACCAAUCAAACCACCAAAUAAUAAUAUAGAGCUAGAAAAAAAAUAAUGACUAAAUUCAGCUGGAAGAACAAAGAGUUCUUCAGAAAACAGAAAAGGAAAAUGACAAAUGCUGGGGUAGAUGUGGAAAAUUGGGAAACUAAUGCACUGUUGGCAGAAUUGUGAACUAGUACAGCCAUUAUGGAGAACAAUUUGGAACUAAACCCAAAGGGCUCUAAAACUCUGCAUGCACAUUGAACCAGCAAUGCCACUAUAACAGAAAAGGUCCAAUUUGUACAAAUAUGUUUAUAGCAGCUCCUUUUGUGGUGGCAAAGAACUGGAAAU